UAUGAAAACAUUUAUAUGCAAGCUACAUUAAUAUUGCCAAGAAUAAGAUAACAAAAAUGAGGUACGUGUUUAUAAAAAUUUAAAGAUGAGAACUUUGAGCUGCAAGAAAAUUAAAUAGUUUGCUGACGGCCAUCAAGCUAAAAAAUGGAAGAACUGGAAUUUUGGAACUAGAUCUCUUAAAGAGUUACUAGUUUUAUUCAGAAGAUAGAGGAAAGAAGACAUGAACAAUUAUGCAUAUGGAAAGUAUUUGGUAAAUUUCCAGCUAUUCUGCCAUGUGAGGACAGAGCCUUCCUGCUAUUGGGAGGAUGCAGCAACAAGGUGUCAUCUUGGAAGCAGGGAUCAGCCCUCACCAGAAAACCAAAUCUGCCACCACCUUGAACUUAGACUUCCCAGCCUUGAGAACUAACACUACAUUGGGAAGGAUUCAUCAUCAUGACCAGAUGUCACAUGGGUCUAUGAUGCCAAAAAAGGAAGAUCCCUGGAGAACAGCAGAGGGAACAGAGUGUGCAACACCAGAGCAGCGAGCACUGGGAGAGACAAAUGUCCCGAGUCUCUGGAUCCUGCCAGAGAGGAAGAGCUUGGAGGGAAGCAAUGUGGUUAAGAGACGCAAGACAAAUUAUAAAUCAUGCUGCUAUAAAGACACAUGCACACGUAUGUUUAUUGCGGCACUAUUCACAAUAGCAAAG
rnacentral:lncRNA from 1 species